AUUGAACGCUGGCGGCCGGUCUAACACAUGCAAGUCGAACGGUAACAGGAAGAAGCUUGCUUCUUUGCUGACGAGUGGCGGACGGGUGAGUAAUGUCUGGGAAACUGCCUGAUGGAGGGGGAUAACUACUGGAAACGGUAGCUAAUACCGCAUAACGUCGCAAGACCAAAGAGGGGGACCUUCGGGCCUCUUGCCAUCGGAUGUGCCCAGAUGGGAUUAGCUUGUUGGUGGGGUAACGGCUCACCAAGGCGACGAUCCCUAGCUGGUCUGAGAGGAUGACCAGCCACACUGGAACUGAGACACGGUCCAGACUCCUACGGGAGGCAGCAGUGGGGAAUAUUGCACAAUGGGCGCAAGCCUGAUGCAGCCAUGCCGCGUGUAUGAAGAAGGCCUUCGGGUUGUAAAGUACUUUCAGCGGGGAGGAAGGGAGUAAAGUUAAUACCUUUGCUCAUUGACGUUACCCGCAGAAGAAGCACCGGCUAACUCCGUGCCAGCAGCCGCGGUAAUACGGAGGGUGCAAGCGUUAAUCGGAAUUACUGGGCGUAAAGCGCACGCAGGCGGUUUGUUAAGUCAGAUGUGAAAUCCCCGGGCUCAACCUGGGAACUGCAUCUGAUACUGGCAAGCUUGAGUCUCGUAGAGGGGGGUAGAAUUCCAGGUGUAGCGGUGAAAUGCGUAGAGAUCUGGAGGAAUACCGGUGGCGAAGGCGGCCCCCUGGACGAAGACUGACGCUCAGGUGCGAAAGCGUGGGGAGCAAACAGG
rnacentral:rRNA from 1 species